rnacentral:rRNA from 1 species
CCUACGGGAGGCAGCAGUGAGGAAUAUUGGUCAAUGGACGAGAGUCUGAACCAGCCAAGUAGCGUGAAGGAUGACUGCCCUAUGGGUUGUAAACUUCUUUUAUAUGGGAAUAAAACGUUCCACGUGUGGGAUUUUGUAUGUACCAUAUGAAUUAGGAUCGGCUAACUCCGUGCCAGCAGCCGCGGUAAUACGGAGGAUCCGAGCGUUAUCCGGAUUGAUUGGGUUUAAAGGGAGCGUUGGUGGAUUGGUAAGUCAGUUGUGAACGUGUGCGGCUCAACCGUAAAAUUGCAGUUGAAACUGGCAGUCGUGAGUACAGUAGAGGUGGGCGGAAUUCGUGGUGUAGCGGUGAAAUGCUUAGAUAUCACGAAGAACUCCGAGUGCGAAGGCAGUUCACUGGACUGCAACUGACACUGAGGCACGAAAGUGUGGGUAUCAAACAGGAUUAGAUACCCCGGUAGUC